UGGGGAAUAUUGCACAAUGGGCGAAAGCCUGAUGCAGCAACGCCGCGUGAGGGAAGACGGUCUUCGGAUUGUAAACCUCUGUCUUUAGUGAAGAAGACAGUGACGGUAGCUAAAGAGGAAGCCACGGCUAACUACGUGCCAGCAGCCGCGGUAAUACGUAGGUGGCAAGCGUUAUCCGGAAUUACUGGGUGUAAAGGGAGCGCAGGCGGGACUGCAAGUUGGAUGUGAAAUACCGCAGCUCAACUGCGGAGCUGCAUCCAAAACUGUAGUUCUUGAGUGAAGUAGAGGUAGGCGGAAUUCCGAGUGUAGCGGUGAAAUGCGUAGAUAUUCGGAGGAACACCGGUGGCGAAGGCGGCCUACUGGGCUUUUACUGACGCUGAGGCUCGAAAGUGUGGGGAGCAAACAGGAUUAGAUACC
rnacentral:rRNA from 1 species